rnacentral:rRNA from 1 species
CUACGGGCUGCUCCAGUCGAGAAUCUUCCGCAAUGGACGAAAGUCUGACGGAGCGACGCCGCGUGCGGGAUGAAGGCCUUCGGGUUGUAAACCGCUGUCAGUGGGGAGGAAAUGCAUCAGGGUUCUCCCUGGUGUUUGACCGAUCCGCAGAGGAAGCGCAGGCUAAGUUCGUGCCAGCAGCCGCGGUAACACGAACUGCGCGAACGUUAUUCGGAAUCACUGGGCUUAAAGAGUUCGUAGGCGGCCUUUCAAGUCGGGUGUGAAAUCCCUCGGCUCAACCGAGGAAUUGCGCCUGAUACUGUAGGGCUUGAGGGGGAUAGGGGUGAGCGGAACUGAUGGUGGAGCGGUGAAAUGCGUUGAUAUCAUCAGGAACACCGGUGGCGAAGGCGGCUCACUGGAUCUCUUCUGACGCUGAGGAACGAAAGCUAGGGGAGCGAACGGGAUUAGAUACCCGAGUAGUC